CAUUUGCAUUGCUUGGAAUUGUUCUCCCAAGUACUUAACUUUUUCCUGUCUGCUUUCUUCCCAUUUGUUUUGUCUUCUGAUUUCCAGCUCUUUGAUUCUUUCUUCCUGUCAGCCUUUUUGCUUGCUCAAACUUUUCCACUUAGCGCGACGUGUGCUAAAACGUUCAUUUGUAUGCAUAGGGAAGCGAUUGAAGGUGGGAGAUAGCGCGAAAGAGAGGGAGUGACAGCCGGAGAAAGAGGCAGAAGACAGAGGAGGCCGAGACUGAGGACUGAGACUGGAGACCGGGACUGGCCACUGAAGAUUCGGUUACACAAGUUCAGUUAGAAGGAAGUCGCGCGAAAGUAGCGAUGGACAGCGACAGCUAUAAAUACUUUAUGGGCCGGCCAGUCGGUUUGGAUGGUACCCUACCUCGGGGUCUUUGGAGUGCGAAAGAGGCGGAAGGCUGGGCCUGGUUUAUGUUUAUUGCCUCACUCUGACCCAACUAGGUACUCUACGCGGUACUUGGCUCUGCGUGGAGUAGGAAGCGUUUAACUACCUUUGAAAGACAUUUGAUACAUGGCAAAGUCGGGUUUUGCUGAGUUUAUUUUCGACUGCGUUUUCUUUUCGCUUUAUGUGCUUUUCGCCGACACUCGUACUAAGCCAGCAUGCCAUCCAAAGCAGCCCAUUGCACCUGACACACUCACCUGAGAUGGAGAAACAACAUGCGGUGCACUGGAAAAACGGUUCCGGACGGACUCCGUAAGUGGACAUCCCAGGGUGUGACAAUACACCACCGCUAUGCCAAUGGAUAUAUCAGAUUUAUUUUUCAG
ensembl:ncRNA lncRNA:CR44444 long non-coding RNA:CR44444